rnacentral:snRNA from 1 species
CAACAAACUGGGAUGGGGUCGUUGGGUGAUCAAGAAUGCCCAUGGCCAAGGUCAAAGUCCUCUAUUCCACUUUGGUGGUGCGUUGGCCUUAGGACUGCUCGUUGUAGCAGUGCCUACGUCCUACUUUUGGCAGCAUGGCCCCGCAUUUGUGUGGCCCUA